GACGAACGCUGGCGGCGUGCCUAACACAUGCAAGUGGAGCGACGAACCAGACUUCGGUCUGGGGCCAAGCCGCGAGCGGGUGAGUAACACGUGGGUAACCUGCCCCGAUGAUCGGGACAACCCGGGGAAACCCGGGCUAAUACCGAAUGUGGUCGCGGUCCGUGAGGACUGUGACGAAAGGAAGCUUCGGCCUCCGCAUCGGGAUGGGCCCGCGGCGCAUUAGCUAGUUGGUGAGGUAAUGGCCCACCAAGGCGAUGAUGCGUAGCCGACCUGAGAGGGUGACCGGCCACACUGGGACUGAGACACGGCCCAGACUCCUACGGGAGGCAGCAGUAGGGAAUUUUCGGCAAUGGAGGAAACUCUGACCGAGCAACGCCGCGUGAGUGAUGAAGGUCUUCGGAUUGUAAAGCUCUGUUGUAAAGGAAGAAUGCUAUGGAUAGAAUCCAUAGGUGACGGUACUUUACCAGAAAGCCACGGCUAACUACGUGCCAGCAGCCGCCGUAAGAC
rnacentral:rRNA from 1 species